ACCUAGAUGACGAGUCCGGAAUAGGACGAAAUGCGCAUCCUAGU
rnacentral:hammerhead_ribozyme from 1 species